AAGAAACCCUCACCCAACCCAGACCCACAGCCACCCCCCACACCCCUCUCACCAGAUACAACAGAUUCCCACUAACAUCUCACACCUACCACUCUUUCAUACCCCAUCACCUAAUACUCAAUUUUCUACUCUCCCAAAACAAAACCAACUCGAUAAUAAUCCAACCCAAACACACUACCAACCCAUCUCCUCACACAUGUCACAGUCACUCAACCCACGCGCGACACAUUAACCCCGAC